CCUACGGGAGGCUGCAGUGAGGAAUAUUGGUCAAUGGACGAGAGUCUGAACCAGCCAAGUAGCGUGAAGGAUGACUGUCCUAUGGGUUGUAAACUUCUUUUAUAUGGGAAUAAAAUGUUCCACGUGUGGGAUUUUGUAUGUACCAUAUGAAUAAGGAUCGGCUAACUCCGUUCCAGCAGCCGCGGUAAUACGGAGGAUCCGAGCGUUAUCCGGAUUUAUUGGGUUUAAAGGGAGCGUAGGUGGAUUGUUAAGUCAGUUGUGAAAGUUUGCGGCUCAACCGUAAAAUUGCAGUUGAAACUGGCAGUCUUGAGUACAGUAGAGGUGGGCGGAAUUCGUGGUGUAGCGGUGAAAUGCUUAGAUAUCACGAAGAACUCCGAUUGCGAAGGCAGUUCACUGGACUGCAACUGACACUGAGGCUCGAAAGUGUGGGUAUCAAACAGGAUUAGAUACCCCUGUAGUC
rnacentral:rRNA from 1 species